rnacentral:rRNA from 1 species
CCUACGGGAGGCAGCAGUGGGGAAUAUUGCACAAUGGGGGAAACUCUGAUGCAGCAACGCCGCGUGAGUGAAGAAGGUUCUCGGAUUGUAAAGCUCUGUUUGCAGGGAAGAGGAAGGACGGUACCUUCAGAGGAAGCCACGGCUAACGGCGUGCCAGCAGCCGCGGUAAUACGCAGGUGGCAAGCGUUGUUCGGAAUAACUGGGCGUAAAGGAUGCGUAGGGGGUUAAACAAGUUAGAUGUUAAAUAUUUAGGCUUAACCUGUAGAAAGCAUAUAAUACUGUUUAACUAGAGUGCAGGAGCGGUAAGCGGAAUUCCUGGUGUAGCGGUGAAAUGCGUAGAGAUUAGGAAGAACACCAGUGGCGAAGGCGACUUACUGGACUGUAUCUGACGCUGAGGCAUGAGAGCAUGGGGAGCAAACAGGAUUAGAUACCCCGGUAGUC